UUCUGGAAACAUCAAUCAGAAUCUGAUUCCUCUCUGUUUCAGUCCCCAUCGCUCCUGCAAAUGUCGCAAACAGUCUGCAGUGUGAUACUUGUGACCCAACAACAUCUCAGUGCAGCAUUCCAAUACAAUGUGAAGGAGUGGAGGACCGCUGUGUCCAAACCACAGUGAUGAUUACACUUCUGAAUAGCGAUGUGCCCGUCUUUGGCUGCACGUCUUCAAACUUGUGCACAAGUGCUGCUGUGCUGAAUUCUCUACAAAUUCUGUCCAAUGUUGGGAGCAUCACCAGUGGACCCACCUGCUGCACCGGCAACUUAUGUAAUGCUGCAACCAUAACAACUACUGCACCAGCAACAACCUCAGCAUCAGCAACAACUACUGCACCAGCAACAACCUCAGCAUCACCAACAACUACUCUGACAAUGACGACAAAUUUCUCUCCAACACCAACAGUUACUCAGGCUGGAGCACUUCAGUGUUCCACUUGCUCAGGUUCAUCAUGUACAAACCCAGUCCUUGCCCUUUGUACUAAUGGAGAGCUGAUGUGUGUGACAGCGUCUGUAUCAGGUAGCUGUGACACACGCUGUUGUCUAUUUUUUAUUUUCAGGGAAAAUGUGUGUGUUUUCAAAACCCUUGAACAAAUAUCUCUGAUUUUCUA